GUGUCAGCCGCCGCGGUAAUACGGAGGGUGCAAGCGUUAUCCGGAUUCACUGGGUUUAAAGGGAGCGCAGGCGGAUUUGUAAGUCAGUGGUGAAAGGCUUAAGCUUAACUUGGGAACUGCCAUUGAUACUAUAAGUCUUGAAUGUUGUUGAGGUUUGCGGAAUGGGUCAUGUAGCGGUGAAAUGCAUAGAUAUGACCCGGAACACCUAUUGCGAAGGCAGCAGGCUAAACAAAUAUUGACGCUGAGGCUCGAAAGCGUGGGGAUCAAACAGGAUUAGAUACCCCCGUAGUCC
rnacentral:rRNA from 1 species